rnacentral:rRNA from 1 species
GAUGAACGCUGGCGGCGUGCCUAAUACAUGCAAGUCGAGCGAAUGGAUUAAGAGCUUGCUCUUAUGAAGUUAGCGGCGGACGGGUGAGUAACACGUGGGUAACCUGCCCAUAAGACUGGGAUAACUCCGGGAAACCGGGGCUAAUACCGGAUAACAUCUUGAACCGCAUGGUUCGAAAUUGAAAGGCGGCUUCGGCUGUCACUUAUGGAUGGACCCGCGUCGCAUUGGCUAGUUGGUGAGGUAACGGCUCACCAAGGCAACGAUGCGUAGCCGACCUGAGAGGGUGAUCGGCCACACUGGGACUGAGACACGGCCCAGACUCCUACGGGAGGCAGCAGUAGGGAAUCUUCCGCAAUGGACGAAAGUCUGACGGAGCAACGCCGCGUGAGUGAUGAAGGCUUUCGGGUCGUAAAACUCUGUUGUUAGGGAAGAACAAGUGCUAGUUGAAUAAGCUGGCACCUUGACGGUACCUAACCAGAAAGCCACGGCUAACUACGUGCCAGCAGCCGCAGUAA